GGCCCAAUGGUCUAGUAGUAUGAUACCUGCUUCGGGUUUAUUCCCGUCCGGAUAUCCGGACAGCUUGCAGGUGGUCCCGGGUUCAAUUCCCGGUUGGGCCC